AACUUUUAACAAUGGAUCUCUUGGCUCUCACAUCAAUGAAGAACACAGUGAAAUGUGAUAAGUAAUGUGAAUUGCAGAAUUCAGUGAAUCAUUGAAUCUUUGAACGCACCUUGCACCUUUUGGUAUUCCAAGAGGUACACCUGUUUGAGUGUCAU
rnacentral:rRNA from 1 species